AUGAAGUCUCACGACUGUCACGUGCUGAUGACGCAGAUACUUCCAGUUGCAAUCCGUGGGAUCAUGGACGCGCACGUCCAUGAAAUGCUAUUUGGCCUAUGCAACUUUUUCGACGUCAUCUCUUGGAAGUCGGUUGGUGUGAGGCAACUCAGAAGGCUACAGGAAGAGAUCGUGGUGAUACUAUGCGAGCUUGAGAUGCACUUCCCGCCCGCAUUCUUCGACGUUAUGGUGCAUCUGCUGGUCCAUAUCGUGGAGGAUAUCAUCCAACUCGGGCCGACGUUCCUGCACAGCAUGAUGCCGUUCGAAAGGAUGAAUGGUGUCAUCAAAGGAUGCGUUCGCAACAUGUCACGUCCAGAGGGAAGCAUAGCCAGGGGCUUUGUGACCGAAGAGUGCAUCUCCUACUGCACGAAUUAUCUAGGCAUUGAGAACCCCGUUGGUCUGCCCGUCAACAGGCACCUCGGCAGGCUCGCUGGAUGGGGUCACCGUGAGGGUCGCCGCGAAAUGCAUGUCGACUUCGAGGGUCGACUCGCCGACUUUGAAAGAGCAAACCUAGUCGCGCUACAACACAUAGACGUGGUCGAUCCUUGGGUGGUAGAGCACAAAACCUUUAUUGAGAAGACGUACAAUGACCGAGGCCAACAGAGGAUGGACGGAGAUAUAAUCAAAGAGCACAACUCAUGUUUCACGCGUUGGUUCAAGCAGAAGCUUUUGUCGUACCCUUUACAUGAGGAUUCUUCCGCGGAAGAACAACUCAUAUUCGCCUUGUCACAGGGCGCCGAGCAUAACCUGAUGACGUAUGAGGCGUACGAUAUCAACGGCUACACAUUCUACACCGAGGGAAAGGACAUGAAGAGCGAUGGUUAUCAGAACUCCGGGGUAACAAUGGAAUCCUACACCGGUAACGACAAGGAUAGAUACUACGGAAGGAUCGAGGAGAUCUGGGAGCUGAGCUACGCUGGAGAGAAGGUCCCGAUAUUCCGUGUCAGAUGGGCCAAGAGCGUCCUAAAAGAAGACUGGUAUUUCACCACCAUGGUUAUACCCGAAGCCAAAUCCAAGACCACAGGCGCAAACGUCACCGCGAAAAAUGAGCCAUGGGUACUGGCUUCCCAAGUGGACUAA
rnacentral:rRNA from 1 species